UGAAUCACCGGUUCACGCACGAUCACCAGAGUUAAGCAACGUCUAGCCUGGCAAGUAGCUAGAUGGGUGACCGCUUGGGAAUACCAUGUACUGUAAG